CCAAAGGCUCUUUUAAGAGCUAUCAUGUUCCCUGAAAGGCAGUGG
rfam:Nomascus leucogenys chromosome 12, whole genome shotgun sequence.